GCAAUAGCUCAGUCAGUAGAGGAUGAGACUCUUAAUCUCAGGGCCACGGGUUCAAGCAAAAGAUUCCUGCAUUGCA